AGAAUUUAUCUUAUUUAAUUCUUACUGUUAUCUCUUAACAAUGCACAAAUCAUCAUAUUUUUCUAGUUUGAAUUUGGAUUUGACAACUUAAUUAGUCCCUUAAACUCGUAGUGGAUAUAUGUUGCCUACCUUAAUGAUCCAAAAAUAAAGUCUGCUUUUGCAAAGAAACGAGGGAGAGUGGAGUUCUUGCAUGAGCUUUUCAUAAAUUGUGCGGACAUUCCAAGAGGUUUGCAAUGCUGGUGAGAAUUGCUGAUAAUCUUCAGUUGACUUCGGAGUUGGGCUAUAGCCUUUUGUAGGUCGUGUCUCUGUCUCCCUGCCUUUAUGUUCUUUCAAUGAGGCUGUUGCUGAACACAUCUUGUGGAUUCUUCUGGUGAUGCUUGCUUCAGUAUCAGUUAGCUGUUUCCUCCUUUCAGUAUCUGUGGAAGCUGAUUCGAUCUCUGAGGAUUAUGUCAAACCUGGUAUUUUACUUCAUUUCAAUAUGGUGAUCCUGGUAAGGGCUGGCACACAAUUGCAAAAGAAGGGCAGGUGAUACUAGAAUCUGGAAAAUAGGAUGACCACUAUGUAUCAUUUCAUCUUGAAUUUAGAGUUAAUCUUGUUAGUGUUUGCAUGACCACGUUAGUGGCAACAACUCACAGCACAGGCAAUAAGAAAAAAAAAUAUAAGAUGCUUAAUAUCCCAAAUUCAAUUUUAACUAAUUAUGUUCUUGAUUGAAUGUUUUUUCUAUCAGGCUUUGGAUUCAUCCAUGAACCUGCAGGACUUCUGUCAUCCAUUUUCCCUGUUAUGCUGUCCUCCGGCUGAUGAGCUUCAGAAGUUAUUAUUCAAAGUGGAAAGUAGAUUAACUAUGUCUGCUUAUAUGUGUGUGUGUGUGUGUGUAGCAGAUAAGAAUACAUGGUUACUCUUGCUUCAAUAUACAGAAGCAAGUCCUCUUCUCUUUCUGAAUUUCAAUAACAGAAGUAGCUUUUUUCUAAGAAAACCUUUUGACUCAUUUGGUUUCUUACCAUUUUACCUACUAUAAUUGUACGUUUGACAGUGUAAAGUUUGCAGUCCUUGGUUAUUUUCUGGAGUGAUGUCUAAACUAUAGGCUUGCUGUGAGCUUUUCCUGUUCUUGUUGAUCUCAUGCUUGCAGGAAUCUGAAACAAGGCAAACUUGUUACUAAAAUCAGAUAUUUGCCUCAAACACAUAAUGAAAAAGAAGUGCAAUUUGACUUAUUCUUCCUGAACUUUACAGGAUUUUUCCUACCUUCCUCUUCUGGAGACCCUUCAGGGCUCCGCCAUGUAAGAAUUUAUGUUGCUUUUAAGUUUUGUCAUGUAGAUUGUAAUUUACACCUUCAAAAUACUCCUUGCCGUGGAAGAGGAUGUGCUCUUAACUUGUUUAAAUUCCUUAAACAUUAGAAAAUAGAGAGGGAGAAAAAACAAGACGUAGUUGCAUGUUGCUUACCACUUUUUUUCUGGGUUUUUAAGAGACCCUUGUGAAAGGAACAAUCUUGCAGGUGCCCUAGUUGAAAGCAGUCAUAUUUAUCAGCCUGUGCCGUGCCGGUAUGUCAUCUAAGAUGUGGAAAGUUACUGGUCGAGCAUGCUCUAACAUGGGUGCUUGAUAGGAGACUAUGGUUGUACUGCCCUGCUUGUUCUCAACAGGAACUGGUGAGAAGCUAUCUGAAACUGGCGAGGCUCGCUUCUCUUGUAACCUCAAGUUUGUUUUGCAGUUUUCUUUUAGCAUGCCUUGUUUCUUUUUCUCAUUUCUGGCUUCUUAUUUUCAACUCUGCCUUCAGGCUGAUGCUCAAGACUUUGGUAAUCACUACAUUCGAACUUUGGUUACUUUAAUUUGAUUAUGAAACCUCUCUUGGCUGCUCUUCACAAUUAUCUAGCAUUCCUGUUGAUGGUUCCUGCUGACACAAUCCACAGAAGCUGCUGUUUACAAGGCAUAGAGGAGCAGAUAUACCAGAAUCCCUAGUCUGGAAAUGAUUAUCUUUCCAGGAAGCUUGUGGCUCCGAUGAAUACUCGUCUGAAAAAAAUUCAUCGAUAUGCACAAAUUCAGCUCGAGCUCGAGCGCAAGCAAUAAAACUUGAAUGCUUGAAAUUAGACGAAAAAAAUUCAUCGAUAUGCACAAAUUCAGCUCAAGCUCGAGCGCAAGCAAUAAAACUUGAAUGCUUGAAAUUCUAUAGCUUUGUUGUGGAUUGCUAUUUUAAAUUCGUGCAUUUGCUUGACAAAACAAAAUACGACAACGAGAUCUUUUAAAUAUCUGAAAUUUGAUUUGUUUUUCACGGUUUAAUGGUGCCAGAAGAAGGAUUUGCUUUGAUUUAAAAUUA